UUUCGCAAUGCCCGAAAGGGUGACGAAGCGACGCCGCGUGAGUGAGGAAGGCCUUCGGGUUGUAAAGCUCUGUCAGGAGUUAAGAAAUAUAAGUGUGCUAAUACCACAUUUAUUUGACAAAAGCUCCAAAGGAAGCCACGGCUAACUCUGUGCCAGCAGCCGCGGUAAUACAGAGGUGGCAAGCGUUGUUCGGAAUUAUUGGGCGUAAAGAGCACGUAGGUGGGUUUGUAAGUCAGAUGUGAAAGCCUUCUGUUCAACGGAAGAAUUGCAUCUGAAACUGCGAGUCUUGAGUGUAGGAGGGGAGAAUGGAACUUCUGGUGGAGCGGUGAAGUGCGUAGAUAUCAGAAGGAACGCCGGCGGCGAAAGCGAUUCUCUGGCCUAUUACUGACACUCAGUGUGCGAAAGCUAGGGGAGCAAACGGGAUUAGAUACCCCGGUAGUCCUAGCUGUAAACGAUGGGCACUAAGUAGAGGGGUUUUA
rnacentral:rRNA from 1 species